rnacentral:rRNA from 1 species
UACGUAGGGGGCAAGCGUUGUCCGGAUUUAUUGGGCGUAAAGAGCGUGUAGGCGGCCUGACAGGUCUGCUGUGAAAACUCGAGGCUCAACCUCGAGAUGUCGGCGGAAACCGUCUGGCUAGAGUCCGGAAGAGGAGAGUGGAAUUCCUGGUGUAGCGGUGAAAUGCGCAGAUAUCAGGAAGAACACCUAUGGCGAAGGCAGCUCUCUGGGACGGUACUGACGCUGAGGCGCGAAAGCGUGGGGAGCAAACAGG